CUCCGGUUGAUCCUGCCGGACCUGACUGCUAUCGGAUUGGUACUAAGCCAUGCGAGUCAUUGUAGCAAUACAAGGCGGACGGCUCAGUAACACGUAGUCAACCUAACUCGUGGACGUGGAUAACCUCGGGAAACUGAGAAUAAACCACGAUAGAUCAUAGUGCCUGGAAUGGCUUAUGGUCCAAACAGUUUACUGCCAUGGGAUGGGACUGCGGCCUAUCAGCUUGUUGGUGAGGUAAUGGCCCACCAAGGCGAUUACAGGUACGGGCUCUGAGAGGAGAAGCCCGGAGAUGGGUACUGAGACACGGACCCAGGCCCUAUGGGGCGCAGCAGGCGAGAAACCUUAGCAAUGUGCGAAAGCACGACUGGGUCAGUCCGAGUGAUUCCUGAUAAAGGAGUCUUUUGCUUGUCCUAAAAGCACAGGUGAAUAAGGGGUGGGCAAGUCUGGUGUCAGCCGCCGCGGUAAUACCAGCACCUCGAGUGGUCAGGACGUUUAUUGGGCCUAAAGCAUCCGUAGCCGGCUCUGCAAGUCUUCGGUUAAAUCCACCUGCUCAACAGAUGGGCUGCUGGAGAUACUACAGAGCUAGGGAGUGGGAGAGGCAGACGGUAUUCAGUGGGUAGGGGUAAAAUCCUCUGAUCCAUUGAGGACCACCAGUGGCGAAGGCGGUCUGCCAGAACACGUUCGACGGUGAGGGAUGAAAGCUGGGGGAGCAAACCGGAUUAGAUACCCGGGUAGUCCCAGCUGUAAACGAUGCAAACUCGGUGAUGCAUUGGCUUAUGGCCAAUGCAGUGCCGCAGGGAAGCCGUUAAGUUUGCCGCCUGGGAAGUACGGACGCAAGUCUGAAACUUAAGGAAUUGGCGGGGGAGCA
rnacentral:rRNA from 1 species